rnacentral:rRNA from 1 species
CGGACCUCCGAUAAACCA